GACGAACGCUGGCGGCGUGCUUAAUACAUGCAAGUCGAGCGGAGCUUCAGUUGAUAGUUUACUAUUGAUUGAAGCUUAGCGGCGGACGGGUGAGUAACGCGUGGGCAACCUGCCCUCUAGCCUGGGAUAACAGCGCGAAAGUGCUGCUAACACCGGAUAUGCUCACAGGGAGGCAUCUCCCAGUGAGGAAAGUUUACACUAGAGGAUGGGCCCGCGUCCCAUUAGCUAGUUGGUGAGGUAACGGCCCACCAAGGCGACGAUGGGUAGCCGACCUGAGAGGGUGAUCGGCCACACUGGGACUGAGACACGGCCCAGACUCCUACGGGAGGCAGCAGUAGGGAAUUUUCCGCAAUGGGCGCAAGCCUGACGGAGCAACGCCGCGUGAGGGAUGAAGGUUUUCGGAUCGUAAACCUCUGUCUUCAGGGACGAUAAUGACGGUACCUGAGGAGGAAGCCACGGCUAACUACGUGCCAGCAGCCGCGGUAAACAUACUCG
rnacentral:rRNA from 1 species